rnacentral:rRNA from 1 species
UACGUAGGGUGCAAGCGUUAUUCGGAAUUACUGGGCGUAAAGCGUGCGCAGGCGGUUUUGUAAGUCUGGCGUGAAAUCCCCGGGCUCAACCUGGGAAUUGCGAUGGAGACUGCAAGGCUAGAAUCUGGCAGAGGGGGGUAGAAUUCCACGUGUAGCAGUGAAAUGCGUAGAGAUGUGGAGGAACACCGAUGGCGAAGGCAGCCCCCUGGGUCAAGAUUGACGCUCAUGCACGAAAGCGUGGGGAGCAAACAGG